rnacentral:rRNA from 1 species
UACGUAGGCAGCGAGCGUUGUUCGGAAUUACUGGGCGUAAAGAGUGUGUAGGCGGUGCUCUAAGUUCGGUGUGAAAUCUCCUGGCUCAACUGGGAGGGUGCGCCGGAAACUGGAGUGCUUGAGCGUGGGAGAGGAAAGCGGAAUUCCUGGUGUAGCGGUGAAAUGCGCAGAUAUCAGGAGGAACACCGGUGGCGAAGGCGGGUCUCUGGGCCGAUACUGACGCUGAGGAGCGAAAGCGUGGGGAGCGAACAGG